rnacentral:lncRNA from 1 species
CUAUUAUACCGUUUGGUUCGGGUAUAAGUAAGAACUAGCUAUUACAGGGAUAGGUACAAGUAUGGGGAUAAGAAAAAUAGCGUUUGGAUAAAAAUUGGGUUGUUUCCGGGGAUAAGAAAAAUAGCGUUUGGAUAGAUAAUAUGGAAUAAGAAAAAUAUUAGAUAGUUUUAUAUAGAAAAUGGAGGUGUUGGUGGGGAUAGUUAUAACCGGUUAUUAUAGAUAACCGAGAACUACUGUUCUCGGGUAAAAAAUUAGCGUUUGAGUAUAAAGGGGGGAUAAGGGCCUAUCCCUAUCCCUAUCCCCAUCCCCUAACCAAACACUGGGUGCUCUCGAAUUAAAUAUGGUAGAAAGAAGCUAUCUCUUAGUUCCGAUUGGAAUUUCUACAUCUAUAGAAAAUUUGUUU